rnacentral:rRNA from 1 species
UACAGAGGUCUCAAGCGUUGUUCGGAUUCAUUGGGCGUAAAGGGUGCGUAGGCGGCGCGGUAAGUCGGGUGUGAAAUCUCGGAGCUUAACUCCGAAACUGCAUUCGAUACUGCCGUGCUUGAGGACUGGAGAGGAGACUGGAAUUUACGGUGUAGCGGUGAAAUGCGUAGAUAUCGUAAGGAAGACCGGUGGCGAAGGCGGGUCUCUGGACAGUACCUGACGCUGAGGCACGAAGGUCAGGGGAGCAAACGGG